AUUGAACGCUGGCGGCAGGCCUAACACAUGCAAGUCGAACGAGUGGCGGACGGGUGAGUAAUGUCUGGGAAACUGCCUGAUGGAGGGGGAUAACUACUGGAAACGGUAGCUAAUACCGCAUACCAUCAGAUGUGCCCAGAUGGGAUUAGCUUGUUGGUGGGGUAACGGCUCACCAAGGCGACGUGCCCUAGCUGGUCUGAGAGGAUGACCAGCCACACGGGAACUGAGAACCGGUCCGGACUCCGACGGGAGGCAGCGGGGGGGAAUUUUGCACAAUGGGGGCAAGCCUGAUGCAGCCAUGCCGCGUGUAUGAAGAAGGCCUUCGGGUUGUAAAGUACUUUCAGGGGGGAGGCGUUACCCGCAGAAGAAGCACCGGCUAACUCCGUGCCAGCAGCCGCGGUAUAC
rnacentral:rRNA from 1 species